AUGACUAAACCAAAGCGUGAGGGGAGGCUUGGGUUUCGAGAUAUGUGUAUUUUCAAUCAGGCUCUUCUCUCAAAACAAGCAUGGCGACUUGUCCAAAGACCUGAUAGUCUUUAUGCUAGGGUUAUAAAAGCUAAAUACUACCCAAAAGGAGAUUUGUUGGACACGGUCUUCACCUCUGAUGGAUCUCCCGUGUGGCAUGGAAUUGAAUAUGGGCUUGAACUCCUGAAAAAAGGUGUGGUCUGGAGACUGGGAAAUGGUAAGAGUAUCCAAAUCCUUCGUGACAACUGGAUACCUCGGCAAUCCGGCCUCUCCAUACAAUCCAUGAAAACUAGAAGCCGGCUUAGAUGGGUAAACUAG
rnacentral:rRNA from 1 species